GACGAACGCUGGCGGCGUGCUUAACACAUGCAAGUCUACGAGAACGAGGUAGCAAUAUCUUUAUUAAAGUGGCGCACGGGUGAGUAACACGUAAGUAACCUACCUUUAGAUUUGGAAUAACCCCGAGAAAUCGGGGCUAAUACUGAAUGAUGCAGCGGCACCACAUGGUGAUGUUGUUAAAGUCUACAUGACGUCUGAAGAUGGGCUUGCGUCUGAUUAGCUAGUUGGUGAGGUAACGGCCCACCAAGGCUACGAUCAGUAGCUGGUCUGAGAGGAUGAUCAGCCACACUGGAACUGAGACACGGUCCAGACUCCUACGGGAGGCAGCAGUGAGGAAUAUUGGGCAAUGCCCGAAAGGGUGACCCAGCAACGCCGCGUGGAGGAUGAAUGCCGUAAGGUUGUAAACUCCUGUUAGAGGGGAAGA
rnacentral:rRNA from 1 species